UAGUGAGUUGAUUUGUUUUUCCGCUGUUUCCAUGUCAACGGUUAGAGAAACGCCCACGAAAAUUUGAAUUUUUGUCUUUACCGUUUGAGAAAAACAACAAAUGAUAUUGUAAUUAAUCUUUGCAAUUAAUUAGUUUCUUUUGUUUAUUAUUCUAAUUAGUGUAAUCUUGAUCAUCUUCCAAUUUGAAGAUGAUUAAUUUAGCCCAAUUAUUCUCACCCAAAAUGAUAAUUUCCAGUUGAGACAAUUUAGUUUUGUUUCCCUGUCAAAGUGAUUACAUAAAACAAAACCUACACGUUACAAUCAUAACCAUCAUCCUACAAUAAUCAACAUCUUAAUCACCAUCAAAUUUUGUGAUCCAAUCAACAAUCAACAUUCUUAUCAUCACCAUCACAAUCAACUGCAGCUGAUAAUCAUUUAAAAUUCAACAUUCUAACGAUCCUCAUGCUGGAAAUAUAUGGUAAAUACGAUGAACUGGCCUGUAAACGAAUUCAAGAAUGACCAUUUUAUGCUCUUAUAUGUUUACCUUGGAAAAGAAAACAACAAUGUUAAUGUUUAUGGACGAUUUUCAGACAAUUAGUAUUUUCUAAUCGUACAAUCAUUACGAUUUCUGAUGGAAACAUUGAAUUUCAAUUAUUUGGAGUUGGAAUGAAAUUGAUCUCAGUUACAGUACAGUGUAUUAGAUUGUCGUUGAUUGAUGGAUGGAUGGUUCUUAUUUCUCAAUGAACUAACCUCAGAUGAUCGAGUAUCGGAUGAAUCGACCGGUUCCUUACAUAAUCGGGAUACAAAUCUAUACUGUUUUUCGUGAACAUUUUCAUCUCACUAAUUAAUAUCGUGAAUGUUAACUACUUGGGAACAAUUAGUGUUACAUCAAGCAAUUUAUUAAUUACUCUUCGUGAUACAUUAGGUUACAUUUUAUUGGUUGCUGUUAGAAAAUGGUCAUCACCGGUUACAAUCAACUAGUCAUUUCUACGAUUCAUUCACUAAACUAAUCACAAAACAAAUCAAAAUAACAAAAUCUUUGAUUGUUGAUUAACUUCAAUUGGUCUUCGUUAGCUGAUAAACUAAACAAUUUUGGUAGUUGGUGUCUAUCGAUUCAGUCAAUUCGCACCUCAAAUGGACUUCAGUUCCAGUGAAGUUUUAUUCAACUUAUUUCCAUUUAAUUGAUUCAUCAAUUUUGUCUCUCAUUUAAAAACAUCUAUUUAAUCAACAAGUUCACUUGCCCUUCCAUUCAUGAUAUUAUCAUAUAAGAAGUGAUAACUUUCGUUAUCAGGCAAUUAAACUUUUUCUUGACCGAACAAUCAAUAAUCGUUGAUUAUACCACUAAUUAUGAAGCUUCAAUUACCUUUUACAUUGGUGAUCAUUUGGCACCCCGAUUAGAUGAUUCGAUGGAAAUUAGAUUGGAAUAUGUUUAAUUAAUUAAGCCAAGAAUUAGGAUCAACUCAUUUUGUCCCUCACUGUGAUUACCAAUAGUUUCAUUAGAGAAUCAAAUCAAUCAUCAUCAACCAACACUUCUUAAUUGUUGGUGUUAAUAAAGUUCAUUAAGUUAUCAAUUUCAUUGGAAUAACGGUCUUGUUAUGAGAGGAAAUCUUAAUCGACAAUCAAAUCUAAUUAAAAGUUUUCCAAUCAUAAAAGUUUUCAUCGAGUAUUCAAUUAACUAGGAAUUGAAUUUUCCAUUCUCAACAAUUGAUCGAAAAAGUUAAAUUUUCUUUUUUUUCUGACAUUUAAUUUCUAAUUGUUCCUUAAACGAGUUGAGGUUUUAAUUAUUUUCUAAUUAAUUUCUGAAUUUUUUUUCCUUGAUUUUCUAGAUCAUCAACUGAUUGUUAAAGUUUUGAUGGUUGUCAACUUCAAAGUAGUUUAAAUGUUUCUCUUGGGACAUUAAUUAUCUAACUGUUAAUUUGGUUUGGACAAUCACAAUUUAGAAGACAAUUUAACUCAAUUAGAUGUCACUUAGCUCAUUAAUUUAGUCCUGUUUUCACCAGACUAAUCAAGACAAACACAAACACACACUCAAACAUUAUCAGUGGCAACAAUUAACCAAACAAUUAGUGAAAGAAAGUCAAAUAAUUAGACACCAUUAACCAAAGAUGAAAUUAAAAUGAUCAAUCAACUAAUCUACAGACUCACACAUAAAUUAAACACGAAUUUAAAUGUGACCAGGUUAACAUGUUUGAUUUGUUAAUUAUGUUUACCAAACUUAAAUCUUCCAACUGAUUGUAAAUCUAGAUACUCGUUGAUUACUUUAGGUGUGCCGUUAAUUUUGUCUUUGACUAAAUCAUAUAAACGCAUUUAUACAUAACAACCUAACCCGAAAA